rnacentral:sRNA from 1 species
GGAUGUGAGGGGUGAUCUGGCUGUGACAUGUCACCCCAUUGAUCGCCAGGGUUGAUUCGGCUGAUCUGCCUGGCUAGGUGGAUGUCCCCUCCUCCCUCACCACUCCAUGUGCGUCCCUCCCAAAGCAGCACACUCAGUCAAAGAGGACAACUUUCCCCAAUAGAGGAGGACCAUUCUUUGGUCAAGGUUAUGUGAGUAGCUGCGCUCCCCUACUACAACCUCCAAACAAGAGUCAAGUCUACCACCUGCCAUUUGUACCUAAACAUGUUAUUGUUAUGUUU